AUGCAGAUGUUGGAUUAUUUGUUGCACAUGCAGCCCAUCUCCAGUCAGUCUGUGAAGAUGUCAUGUACCAAGAUCAUAAGGCGCAUAAACCAACCUCGUGUUAAGCCAACACCUCCGUCUCCUGCAGAGGAGCUCCGCAAUGGGGAAAUCCACAGGUCAGCGAGAAAGCAAAAGGUCAGUCCCAGCCAUCAUGUUGUGAAGACUUACUUUGGAACAUUUAAGAUGCUGCGUGUGUCCUUUCUCUUCUUCCAGAGACUUCGCCCUACAGAACCUUGCAGCGCAGAUGAAGGCACUCCCUAAAGUUGUGGGCCGUGAGCUGCCACCUACUCGGGAUUUGCUGGUGAUAGAAGGGACGUGGAUCUACUCUGCAGCUUGCAUUAUUACACGCCAAGUGUGUGUUUCACUGUUUGAUAAUGGAAGGGAACAAACUCAAUACUUGGUGGAGAAAACAUUGGCUGCAAUACAUCUGAAUCUGAACUGUGAUAAAGAAAAAUAACGUGACAGCGGAUGAAGUUUGUUCCUGAGAACAGGAAAAAAAAAAAAAAACAGUUGUGAUUCUGAUGUUGGUAAUAACAUGAGAUGUAUUCAUUAGGUAAUACUACAGAAAAUGUCUUAUUACCAAUAUGUUUCUUCAUAGUGUGAAUUUGAGGUUUGACUUGGAGUUUUGACAUGCUGCAUUUUUCACGCAGUCACUUUGGUUUUGACAUUAAUUUUGUCGAUUUGAUUCUGCUUCAAACAAAAGCUCUAAGAUUUGACCAAGAAUGGGUUUAGGUUUAUUGAAGACAUUUACACAGACACGUCUACUGAAGAAGUGGCAUAACUGUACUGUGGCUAAAUGUACAAUAGUACCAGUAGUUCCACUCCUCUAUUGUAGCUUUGACUUGUCUGUAGUUACAUUUCAAGUUUUUAUACAACAUUUGUUCUUCUUUAAAUGUUCUUUUCUGUUUUUCUGGAAGUCCUGAUGAGAUUUGUACAAGCAGACUUGAAGCUACAAUACAACGUCUUAACUUACGGAAGCCAACUGUGCGGCUCUUGGCCUCCUCCUACUACUUCGUUAUUGAGUGUGCUCGCUUUCUCCGUCACCUCCUGGUUUGAGUCCAUUAGCCUGCAAAGAAAGAAAUCUGUCGGGACCCCUCACAUCCUGAGUCCCAUGUUCCAGUGGCUCCCAUCAGGACACAGACUCCCUGAUGCAGGACCCAAAUAGGAGAAACACUGUAAUCCCAGCAGUAGUUAUCCAUCAGAAUGCUGUCCUGUACAAUGACGCUUUUAAUUGAUCUUAAUAGUAAUAUUAAUUUUCCUGGAUGCUUUACCUUAAUUGGCCUUCAGGGAUAAAUAAUAGAGAUAAAGUGUUUUAAAUUGAAUUGAUCAAUACAUUAUAAAUACCAGAAAUACUCACGUACACAUUAUUCAAAGAAAUAAAUUAAAAACAAAUCUAUGUUGUGAAGUUCA
rnacentral:lncRNA from 1 species